rfam:Brachypodium distachyon strain Bd21 chromosome 1, whole genome shotgun sequence.
GUACUCCUUGCUCCGUCCAACAAAGGAUGUCUCGACUUUAACUAAAUUUGAAUGCAUCUAUACACUAAAUCAUGUCUAGAUACAUCCAAAUAUUGACAAACUUGAGACAUCUUUUGUUGGACGGAGAAAGUAGUUU